rnacentral:lncRNA from 1 species
AUGCCAUACUCUAACACAACUGACACUGUCCACCAAUCACCAGACAGGAAACCUGGACAAGAAAACAAGACAGAAUCUGCUUAUAUUGCCAAUGUCGUUCUUGAGUCGCAGCUCGGUCCUAUCAACGUAUCUAGUCCAGGCCCUCAAACCAAACCAACAACCAAAUCCCUGGACACUAUUGUGAAUCUGAAGUCUAGCAGAAAGCUGGUGUUUCCCGCUGAGAUAAAGGAUGAUCCAGAGAAGAACAGCUCUGUAAUGUAUGUAGAGCCCUAUGUAUGGACACAACCAGAGUUCAAAAGUAGCGUCAUAGAGGCCGAGCCAAAAGACACAGAGAUGGCCAUAGGAACAACUAAAACAAUAGUGAUAUUGCCUAGAGUUGACACACAUAAUAGGUCAGAGGAUAGCACCAUUGGUUUUGAUGUAGAGCAUUCAGAGCAUGAGUCUCUCACUACUCCGUCUUUUGAGAUCUCGUCACAGAGCAGCCACAUAAGGCCAAAGCCAAAAGAGGUCAACUUUACCCAUGGAAAGACAAAUACCGCAGGGACUCCACCUAGUGGUGACACUCUGACCCAAUCAGAAGAUAAGUUCAACAACAGGAGACCUGAUGAUGUAGUUUCAGAACGUGUGGGGCCUCAUAGCAUGCAAUCUUCAGAGGUCAAGUAUGAGAAGGAGCAAUUUCAGCUUAAAUAUGAAGAUAUGCUGGGGCUGGAAUAUGUUAGGCUAAACCGAGAUGUUUCAACAGAGAGCCAAGAACUUCAAACAGACCAAAACCACAGUGAAAUGCUGUCAUUUGAGGAUACAUACUCUCUCCAGAGAAAUGACCCUUUGCCUACCAUUGAGUCAUUCAAAUGUGUAGAGAAACCUCAGUACUUGCUCCAAGAGGAACCACAGGACAUACUCACCAUAGACAAACAUGUUCCUGUUGAUGAAUCAUCUAUCUUCAAAGAGGCCAGACCCAAGAAGGACCUAGUUUGUUCAGAGGAAUCUCUACCAUUUGCUGUUCAUGUUCAAGAUGAAGUCAUCAUUUCUAGCAAUCUCCAUACAUCAAAGGAGGAUACUGGUGAGGACAAAGAGAAGGAAGUGUCAAAGUUUAGAAAUUAUUCUCUCUCACAGACUGCAAUUGUAGGUGGCAUGAAACAUGUAACAAAGAUGGACCAUAGGGUUUCUCCAGGAGAUUUUGAUGAAGAAAAUAAACAAGAACAGAUGGAUGUAAAGAAGUCUACUGAAUCUCUAAGCAAAGCAGUGGAUGGGCAGACAUUUGUUACUUUAGAUGGAGAGGGGGUAGAUAUAUUUAAGGAAAGGAAUACUUUGGAGUCCAAGCUGUCUCCAAAUGGAGACUUUCAAAAAGUGAAUCAGGAGACUGGAAAAUGUCUCAUUCCCACAAUAGUGGUCAAUUCCUCUGAAUCCCCAGUGACAGAUGACACUGAAGAGCACCCAGCUACGUCUCAGGAACCCCCUUCAGUGGUUGUUACACCUAUGGACACCUGGGAGGUUAGACAUUAA